rnacentral:rRNA from 1 species
CUCCCUGAGAUCAGCGGCGGACGGGUGAGUAACACGUGGGUAACCUGCCUGUAAGACUGGGAUAACUCCGGGAAACCGGGGCUAAUACCGGAUAAUUUAGUUCCUCGCAUGAGGAACUGUUGAAAGGUGGCUUCGGCUACCACUUACAGAUGGACCCGCGGCGCAUUAGCUAGUUGGUGAGGUAACGGCUCACCAAGGCAACGAUGCGUAGCCGACCUGAGAGGGUGAUCGGCCACACUGGGACUGAGACACGGCCCAGACUCCUACGGGAGGCAGCAGUAGGGAAUCUUCCGCAAUGGACGAAAGUCUGACGGAGCAACGCCGCGUGAGUGAAGAAGGUUUUCGGAUCGUAAAACUCUGUUGUUAGGGAAGAACAAGUGCCGUUCGAAUAGGGCAGCACCUUGACGGUACCUAACCAGAAAGCCACGGCUAACUACGUGCCAGCAGCCGCGGUAAUACGUAGGUGGCAAGCGUUGUCCGGAAUUAUUGGGCGUAAAGCGCGCGCAGGUGGUUUCUUAAGUCUGAUGUGAAAGCCCACGGCU